rnacentral:rRNA from 1 species
GAUGAACGCUGGCGGCGUGCCUAAUACAUGCAAGUCGAGCGAACAGACGAGGAGCUUGCUCCUCUGACGUUAGCGGCGGACGGGUGAGUAACACGUGGAUAACCUACCUAUAAGACUGGGAUAACUUCGGGAAACCGGAGCUAAUACCGGAUAAUAUAUUUAACCGCAUGGUUCAAUAGUGAAAGACGGUUUUGCUGUCACUUAUAGAUGGAUCCGCGCCGCAUUAGCUAGUGGGUAAGGUAACGGCUUACCAAGGCAACGAUGCGUAGCCGACCUGAGAGGGGGAUCGGCCACACUGGAACUGAGACACGGUCCAGACUCCUACGGGAGGCAGCAGUAGGGAAUCUUCCGCAAUGGGCGAAAGCCUGACGGAGCAACGCCGCGUGAGUGAUGAAGGUCUUCGGAUCGUAAAACUCUGUUAUUAGGGAAGAACAAAUGUGUAAGUAACUAUGCACGUCUUGACGGUACCUAAUCAGAAAGCCACGGCUAACUACGUG